UGGAUCGCAGUGAAGAUCUACCCACGCAAAGGUAAAGGUCUAAAUCUAAAUUUGAUUUUAUUUUUCAGCAUCUUAAUUUUAGCAUAUGAAAGUUACUGGCAUGUGUAGAUUAGAUCUAUAUUUUAUGUAUGUUAGAUUUAAAGUUAAUAUUAAAUCUAGAUCAAGUUUCAAUUCUGUUGUGUUUAUGAUUUUUAAAAAUUAAAAAUCUACAUGUUCUGUUUUCUGCAUGCAUAUCCCGGAUGUGAGACAUCCUUCAAGCGAUAUCAGGGCU
rnacentral:lncRNA from 1 species